UACAGAGGUGGCAAGCGUUGUUCGGAAUUACUGGGCGUAAAGAGCGCGCAGGCGGCUGGUCAAGUCCGAUGUGAAAGCUCCCGGCUUAACUGGGAAAUUGCAUCGGAAACUGAUCGGCUGGAAGGUGGGAGAGGGAUGUGGAAUUCCAGGUGUAGCGGCGAAAUGCGUAGAUAUCAAGUGGAGCACCAGUGGCGAAGGCGAGUCCCUGGAAAAUUCCUGACACUGAGGCACGAAAGCUAGGGGAGCAAACAGG
rnacentral:rRNA from 1 species